rnacentral:rRNA from 1 species
UACGUAGGGCGCAAGCGUUGUCCGGAAUUAUUGGGCGUAAAGAGCUCGUAGGCGGUUUGUCGCGUCUGCUGUGAAAACCUGAGGCUCAACCUCGGGCUUGCAGUGGGUACGGGCAGACUAGAGUGCGGUAGGGGUGACUGGAAUUCCUGGUGUAGCGGUGGAAUGCGCAGAUAUCAGGAGGAACACCGAUGGCGAAGGCAGGUCUCUGGGCAUUAACUGACGCUGAGGAGCGAAAGCAUGGGGAGCGAACAGG